rnacentral:rRNA from 1 species
AGUGGCGAACGGGUGAGUAAAGUAUCGGAACGUGCCCAGUCGUGGGGGAUAACGUAGCGAAAGUUACGCUAAUACCGCAUACGAUCUAUGGAUGAAAGCGGGGGAUCGCAAGACCUCGCGCGAUUGGAGCGGCCGAUAUCAUAUUAGGUAGUUGGUGGGGUAAAGGCUCACCAAGCCGACGAUCUGUAGCUGGUCUGAGAGGACGACCAGCCACACUGGGACUGAGACACGGCCCACACUCCUACGGGAGGCAGCAGUGGGGAAUUUUGGACAAUGGGCGCAAGCCUGAUCCAGCCAUGCCGCGUGCAGGAUGAAGGCCUUCGGGUUGUAAACUGCUUUUGUACGGAACGAAAAGGUUUGGCCUAAUAAGCUGAGCUCAUGACGGUACCGUAAGAAUAAGCACCGGCUAACUACGUGCCAGCAGCCGCGGUAAUACGUAGGGUGCGAGCGUUAAUCGGAAUUACUGGGCGUAAAGCGUGCGCAGGCGGUUAUGUAAGACAGAUGUGAAAUCCCCGGGCUCAACCUGGGAACUGCAUUAGUGACUGCAUAGCUGGAGUACGGCAGAGGGGGAUGGAAUUCCGCGUGUAGCAGUGAAAUGCGUAGAUAUGCGGAGGAACACCGAUGGCGAACGCCAUCCCCUGCGUCUGUACUGACGCUCAUGCACGAAAGCGUGGG